AUUUCUAUUGAAGUGACUGUCAGUGAACCUAUUGAGUAUUUUGCAGAGAUAUCCAGGAAUGAACCAUAAGAUGGGCUCAGAGCCCAGUCACUCCUGGAUAAAGCUGUAGCCGUUUAAAUAAAAGGCAUGAGAGCAUUCGUUCCAUUGGAACCUUCUUGUCCUUCCUGCAUGAACCUGUCAGUAGCGUUGUCUUGAAAGGAUGUUUCUGAGUGCUGGAGCAGUUAGUCAGGCUCUAUCAGGCUCCUGGGGAAGGCAAUCAUGUACCAAAGCUACAUUCAUUGGUUCCCCUUUACUUUUUAUAUUAAAAGGCCAGUGGCUUUAAAAAUGGACUUUUUUUUCUUUUUCUUGUUAUGGUAAUGCUAAACAGCUAGAAGCUGUGUAACUGCCAUCCGUGGAAACCAAAGUUUAUUCAAGCCAGAAAAAUGCCAGAAAAUAUUUGUUGUAUCAAAAAGACACUGACAUCAUAUUUUUUCAAUUCACCGGGUUAUCGCAGGAUUAAAGAAGGAAAGAGGGAAAAAGCCUAGUUACUAAAAUGUAAAUUACUUCUUUUUUCUAAUUCUGCAUAUUGUUCAGGCAAGACAAAUGACCCUUCAAAUAGUUUAAACAUUCCUGAUGUCAUCAUUAACAUUAUUUAUGAUUGUUACCCAGCAUCGGAAGUAAGGCCAGCUUCAAACUGGAUGUCUUGACUAGUAAAUGGGAGUUCUUUCAGUAAUGCAUAAAAUUCAACAUAGACUACAAGGCAUAAAGAUGUAAGUGCUGAAUUAUUUUACAACUACAAUUAAAAGGUAAAUAAGGCACAGGGAAAUAGCAAAACAUUAAGUUAAAUUCAUUUAUGAUUUCAAAACCUGUGUUAUAACAUUGGGGAAAAAUUUGUACUGUAGUCAUGACUGCGUAUUACUGAAUAGGUUAUUCUCUUCUCCUAAAUGUCAUUACCAUAAUUUUAUUUAAUAUGAUAUUCAGCACUCAAACUACACCGUUUUGUUUUGCUUUUUUCAAAUCCAGCCUUGUGAGAAUAUUUGAUCAUUUCUGACUGAUUAGAGGGGGUAAAAAGGAUACAUACAUUCAAAAUCUUUCUUAUUUAUAUUUUCUUAACUGUUUUGCUGAAUUGUAUUGGUGCUUUUUAUGUAUUAGCCCCUUGAUCUAAGCAAUAGGUGCUGCGCUCUGAAUGUUUGUGUCCUCCCAAAAUUCACACCCAAAACUUAAUGCCCAAUGUGAUGCUAUUGGAAGGUGGGACCUUUGGGGGGGCGAUUUGGUCAUGAGGGUUGGAGCCCUUCUGACUGGGAUUAAUGGUCUUGUCAAAGAGAUGCCACCAAGCUUCCUAGCCAUUUCCACCAGGUGAGGCUACAAUGAGAAGUCUGUAAACUGGGAGAAGGCCCUCACCUUAUUGUGCUGGCACCUUCAACUCAGAUAUCCAGGCUCCAGACCUGUGAGAAAUAAAUCACUGUUGUGUAUACAGUACCCAGUAUUCUGUGAUAUUUUGUUAUAGCUGCUCAAACAGACUAAGACACCUGGUAACUAUCUAUUAUUAAUUUUUAAGUGUAUACCACAGCUUGCUCCAGUUUGUUUCCUAGCCAAAGUGAAGUAUUACAAAUAGGUAAAGCAAAUGGAAAUCUAAAGGAAGAUAGAGAAUAUUCACUGGUAAGUAAAAAAUAAAUUAGAACCCUUAGAUGAAUUAAUUGUUAUAAUACCCCCCCAAAGUUUAUUUAUCAAAACUCAGAGGAAAGUGCAAUGAUAAGAUGUAGCAAAAUUCACCUCACAAGGUAUAGCAGGAAGACUCUGAGACUGCCUCUUCUUGAGUGUGGCCUGGGCUGGUAGCUUGUAUCUAACUGGAAGACUACAACAAAGGUGAUGAAAUGUCACUUUCAUAAUUAGGCUGCAUAAAAUUGUGACUAAUUCUUACUGGUUGGCACACUGUCUCUCCUGCUGUUUUCAGUGAAGUGAACUAUCAUGUUGGAGAGAUUCACAUCACAAGAACCUUAAGGCAACUUCCAGCCAGUAUCCAGCAAGGAACGGAGUUCAGUCACUCUUAGAAGCCAUGUCACAUCAACAACCACAUAAGCAAACUUUGAAACUCCUUCUCCAUUUGAGCCUUCAGAUGAGAACUUAGCUCUGACAGCACCUCAUAAGAGACCAUGCAGCAGGAGGACCCCACUAAAUGAGCCAAAUUCAUGAAAUAGACACUGAGAGAUAACAAAUGUAUGUUACUCUAAUUUGAUAAAUUUGUGAUAAUUUGUUAUGUAGUACAAUGUAAUAAACAGACAAGUCAAAAAAAAAUUUUUUUCUGAAAGUAACAUGCCUAUAGAUCAAUAACCAAGAAUCCCUGUACAACGUGAAGUCUUUGCCAUCAAAUUAAUAAGAGCUGGAGAAAUGUAAAUUAGUGAAUAUUUUCUAUGAACUUUCUAUAAAAACUAAGUUCGUAAAUCUAGACUGUAACUCAACAAGGUCUUUAAAAAUGCUUUGGGGUAAAAAUUCAAGGUAAUAAAAGGAAUAAAAGUUAUUAUCUCCUGAGCCAACUUAACAUAGGGAUGAGACAUGAAGAACUUGGAUGAGUAAGCAGCUAGUAUGUCCUUUAGAAUAUGUCAAAUGAGCUCUUUGCAAAUGCUAGGAUGUUGUAAAUUCUUGGCUGGAUCCUCUUAGGAGUGCUGCAGUGCAGAUAAUCUGUGUUGUCAAUUAAGGGGCCAUCCAUAUGCUUUAUGUGUGUGGCAUGCAGGCAGCAAGCCUGGCAUUCUCCUCAGAAAAUUCAGAAACCUGGCUCAUGCUCGGAUCUUGACAGAGGACCAUUCAACUCCUAUUUAGAGGAAGGACUGCCAGAGUGUCAGUGGGCAGAUUUUUUUUCCAAAAAAUAAUUUUGAAUUUAGUUAGGCAUUUGGCUAAGGACUAUGAGAUCCUAGCUAUCUUAGGCUUGGAGGAAGAAGUUUUCACCUGAAUAAAACAUUAAGUGUAGUCGGAACUACUUGCUUCCCAAGACUCUAAAAGGCCUCAGUUAUACCAUACAUAUUAUUUGUUUUUGAUGAGGACUUCAGCUUGGUGCCCAUGCCAGGAUGAAUUAGCUGCAAAUCCUAGCCUCAAAGACAUGAAUAAUUAGAUUUCUUGGAUAAAGUUAUUUAGAACUCAGUAUUUCUGCAUUUAAAGAAGACUAAUGAAAGUCUUCUUAUUUUAACUUUUGAUUUUUACAUAUACAUUCUAUAUUCUUUCUUGGAAGCAGAUCAUAUAAUUAACUUAAUAGAUCAUUAAAAUACUUGCUUCAUUUCCACUGAAGCAGUGCGUGAUCAUGGAUAAAAGGGCUGGCUUUUGAAUCAGACUUCCUGGUUUGGAUUCCUACUCUGUCACACACUUACUGUUUGUAAGCUUGGGUGAGUCACUUGACUUAUCUGUGCCUUUAUUUUCUUCUCUGUAAAAUGUUAAUGAUAAUACUUGUUCUACUGGGGAAGUUGAAUAAGUUAACACAUGCCAAGUCUUAUAGCUUGGAUAAACUCAGCAUUCUGUAAUUUUGAACCAUUAAAUACUUAGCUAAUUGAUGGUACAUUUUUUUUCAGAUCACAAUUCCAUUAGAAGUUCCCUUGUUUAUUAAGGCCUCUCCCCACUUGUGAAAAUAAAGUCAUGUCAGCAGAAUAGCAAAAGAUGGUUCCCUUUGCAGAAGGAGCAAAAUUUUCAUCUAUAGCAAUGAAGAGCCACACUAAGUUAAACUGUAGGUAUCCUGUAGUGGCUCUUGAUACCAUUUCUGGGUGUCAAAAAGUGUGUGAGGAGCAGCUCUGUGUACCUUUAGUACUGUUCAUUAAAUGGUCUCCUCCUCCUCCCAGGCACUUGGCUCAGUUGUGCCUCCUCACUCCCUUGAACUUAGGCAUGGCUCUGAGCUGCACCCUUAUCCAGCUCACAGGUCAUCUAGUCUUGCUUUCUUUCCCCUCACAUGUUCCUGCAAUGCUUGCAACGAUGAAGCCUCCAUCAGCCAUCUGCAAGCUGCAACACAGGUCACAGAAGAGGCUUGGAUCCAACAUUGCUAUGGUUGUGAUGUAGCCCUCAUCUGCAGCUCUGAUUCAGCGCCUUGCCUGGGAAAUUCCGUAUGCCACAGGUGCAGCCCUAAAAAAAAAGAAAAA
rnacentral:lncRNA from 1 species